rnacentral:rRNA from 1 species
UCCGUAGGGUGCAAGCGUUGUCCGGAAUUAUUGGGCGUAAAGAGCUCGUAGGCGGUCUGUCGCGUCGGCUGUGAAAACCCGAGGCUCAACCUCGGGCCUGCAGUCGAUACGGGCAAACUAGAGUACUGCAGGGGAGACUGGAAUUCCUGGUGUAGCGGUGAAAUGCGCAGAUAUCAGGAGGAACACCGGUGGCGAAGGCGGGUCUCUGGGCAGUAACUGACGCUGAGGAGCGAAAGCGUGGGGAGCGAACAGG